UAGAGUUUGAUCAUGGCUCAGAUUGAACGCUGGCGGCAGGCCUAACACAUGCAAGUCGAGCGGCAGCGGGAAAGUAGCUUGCUACUUUUGCCGGCGAGCGGCGGACGGGUGAGUAAUGCCUGGGGAUCUGCCCAGUCGAGGGGGAUAACAGUUGGAAACGACUGCUAAUACCGCAUACGCCCUACGGGGGAAAGGAGGGGACCUUCGGGCCUUUCGCGAUUGGAUGAACCCAGGUGGGAUUAGCUAGUUGGUGGGGUAAUGGCUCACCAAGGCGACGAUCCCUAGCUGGUCUGAGAGGAUGAUCAGCCACACUGGAACUGAGACACGGUCCAGACUCCUACGGGAGGCAGCAGUGGGGAAUAUUGCACAAUGGGGGAAACCCUGAUGCAGCCAUGCCGCGUGUGUGAAGAAGGCCUUCGGGUUGUAAAGCACUUUCAGCGAGGAGGAAAGGUUGAUGCCUAAUACGUAUCAGCUGUGACGUACUCGCAG
rnacentral:rRNA from 1 species